CCUACGGGAGGCAGCAGUGGGGAAUAUUGCACAAUGGGGGAAACCCUGAUGCAGCGACGCCGCGUGAGUGAAGAAGUAUUUCGGUACGUAAAGCUCUAUCAGCAGGGAAGAAAAUGACGGUACCUGACUAAGAAGCCCCGGCUAACUACGUGCCAGCAGCCGCGGUAAUACGUAGGGGGCAAGUGUUACCCGGAUUUACUGGGUGUAAAGGGAGCGUAGACGGCAGCGCAAGUCUGGAGUGAAAUCCCAUGGCUUAACCAUGGAACUGCUUUGGAAACUGUGCAGCUAGAGUGCAGGAGAGGUAAGCGGAAUUCCUAGUGUAGCGGUGAAAUGCGUAGAUAUUAGGAGGAACACCAGUGGCGAAGGCGGCUUACUGGACUGUAACUGACGUUGAGGCUCGAAAGCGUGGGGAGCAAACAGGAUUAGAUACCCGAGUAGUC
rnacentral:rRNA from 1 species